CCACGUGCUGAAUUGCCUGUUUAAAUUGGAGUGUCUACUGGUUCUUUCCCUGGAUGUUGUGGGCCCAGCUGAAGCCGGGAGCCAAGAACUGUGUCCGGGCUUCUUGCAUGGACAGCGAGGACUCCACUCCUUGGGCAGUCCCAUUGCUAACUUCAAAGGUGAGGAGGCCGAUAAAGGCGCUGGAAGCGUGGGCCCACCCCAGCUCUGGAUCCUGAGCUACAGACCGAGAAAGUUCACGCUUGUCAUUGGUGCCGUGAGUCGUGUGCACCAUGUCGAUAAGUCAACGUUGUGUGUUAAACCCAUGAAACACUGGAUCUGUUCAUUAAAUAUGACCAGUAAGCUUGCGAGAACUUAAAUGCUGCAUUUAUCAGCAGUUCAAAGCCUUAGUUAAGUACCGCAAAGAACAAGAAUCAACUGUUAACUGAGGAGCACGCCUGAAUCUUAUGCCCAUUAUUUUCAGCUCAUUGCCUAUCUGACAUAAGUGCUCCUUUGUAAAUAUUUUCCUCUUUUCCGUAUUACCUGACUGAACCACAGGUUUACGACCUGUGUGUCUGCACAGACCAGGUGAACUUGAAGGGGGAAAAUUGGACCAUCUGUGAAGGGAGCCCCGUCUUGGAGCUCCCACCCUCCGGGCUGCAUUUCCCUAAUCCCUCUGCCCUGCGCUUCUCACAGCCACCUGUUUCUUGUCCGUCUUCCAACCCUGUCAGAAGCUCACAUCUCCAAGAAGAUGGACUAAAUCAGAAAUUAGUAACUGCUUGUACCUGCCGACCUUCCUGCAUCUGAUCACAGCGCUCUGCUCCAGUAGCCUAGGAUACAUCAUCUAGGAUGGGCCUUCCUGCUUGGGCUUUGAGUUGCAUUUUACUCAGAAUCAGUUACUGUGCUUGUGGACUUGUCCUGGCUGCUGAAUCGCUUCCGUUAGCUUCUAAACGAAGCUACCCACUUUAAAGAACAAAACGCUUUGGAAGUGUUAGCUCCCUCCAAAUAGCAGCCCAUUACUCUGUGACUGUCUACUUGACUGAAAUACCUCCACUGGGACUCUUAAAGCCACACAAUCUGACCGUGCCCACAUUCCUGAGCCUGUUGAAGGGGGACUAUAGCAUUCAUGCCUCCAGCUGGAUGAAACCCGCUGCCUGAGCCAGCUCUGGAGGAGCCACUGGACUCACACGCCAUAGCAGCCAAUUCUUCCAGAUUUUACUCAACAUGGACAUGGGCCAGAUUAACAAGUUAUCUGCAGUCAUGUAUUGGCAGAGGGAUACACAGCCAACACCAGCUGACUUUCCGGUACCUUCAGGCACCUGUCCACUGGCAUUUCUGUAACAUUGCUUCUGAGUCAGAAUCUGGUGGCUCAAGGUUUGUCCAAGCUCAAAUCACAAGCUCAAAAAUCAACUACCACUGCUACUUUUCUCCUUCCCCUCCUCCGGUGAGAGAUGGGCAGCCCCAAAGAUCAGAAAGCAGAGGGCAUGGCCUGACAGCAAUAGCUGCCCCUGCAAGUCUCCAAAAUGACUCAGUUUGGGCUCCUUAUGGGCAAACUUUUAGGAAAGGACAUGAAAAAGUUAGAUAUCUCAUUCAGAGAUUUCCUAGCAUAGCUGCUUGAAUUAAAAGGCAAAUGAAAUACCUGAAUACAAUAUCAACUUAGAAAUAGUGCUCAUCUCUUAAAGAUGACUACUUGUUUCUCAGUAUUUAUCAGAGUAACAAAAACUGAGUAGAGGAAUUGGAUUUGAAUCUACUGAAGAAGGUAUGAUGGGCAAAAGUGAAAGGAAAUUGUAAGUGACUAGUUCAUAGCAGAAGUAAGGGAGGGAUGAAGAGCUGGCCUGGUAGAGGUGAAGGGAGAACACAGUGAGAAACAUGGGUGCAGGCCUGGCACCUUGAUACUACACCCUUUGUGCCCCCCUCCCAUCCCUCAUCACAUUUCUUCCUUUCAAUCAACCUUUGAUUGCUUGGAUCAGUUCCACAGAGUUAUCCUCACCCAGUAACAAAGAUGACACCAAGUCUCAUACAGGGUUUAGGGGUUCACUCAAAUUCCAGAAAACC